rnacentral:rRNA from 1 species
CCUACGGGUGGCAGCAGUCGGGAAUAUUGCGCAAUGGAGGAAACUCUGACGCAGUGACGCCGCGUAUAGGAAGAAGGUCUUCGGAUUGUAAACUAUUGUCGUUAGGGAAGAAAAAGGACAGUACCUAAGGAGGAAGCUCCGGCUAACUACGUGCCAGCAGCCGCGGUAAUACGUAGGGAGCAAGCGUUAUCCGGAUUUAUUGGGUGUAAAGGGUGCGUAGACGGGAAUUUAAGUUAGUUGUGAAAUCCCUCGGCUCAACUGAGGAACUGCAACUAAAACUGGAUUUCUUGAGUGCUGGAGAGGAAAGCGGAAUUCCUAGUGUAGCGGUGAAAUGCGUAGAUAUUAGGAGGAACACCAGUGGCGAAGGCGGCUUUCUGGACAGUAACUGACGUUGAGGCACGAAAGUGUGGGGAGCAAACAGGAUUAGAUACCCCAGUAGUC